rnacentral:ncRNA from 1 species
CACGGAAAGGAUUGACAGAUCAAUAGCUCUUUCUCGAUUCUGUGGGGGGUGGUGCAAGGCCGUUCUUAGUUGGUGGAGCGAUUUGUCUGGUUAAUUCUGAUAACGAACGAGACUCUGGCAUGCUAACUAGUUAUGCGACCCCCCGAG